rnacentral:lncRNA from 1 species
GACUCGGUCCACUCCGUUACGUGUACAUCCAACAAGAUCGGCGUUAAGGUUCUUUUUCUUCAGGAUCAGGCACAGAGACUGACUGAAUGGCUCCAAUUAUCAGGAUUUGAAAACCCAGUAUCAGAAUCUACCACUUUGUGCCUGAGGGAGAGGGAAAAGCGGAUACCCACCUGUGUCGCUGUUUGCGUGCCAAGUCCAGGAACAGUCCAUACAGCCCUGCUGCAUCCCACGACGCUGUCACAAAGCAGGAGUUCAUCCGAGGCCAAGAUGGAGAAACUGAGGCCCAGAAAUUGAUGUCCAGAAUGCUUUGCUCUUAGCCACUGUACUAUUAUGGCAUAUUUUAUCUUUAUGUAUUGCAUCAUUUCAUGGAUUCAAGUUUAUCAAUGUCCUUUGACAAGUUUAAAAAUCUGUCUGCUAAAAUCUAUCCAAUACAUUAAGGAAAAGUCCCACUUGGCACAUCUCCCACACCAGAUGUUAAUUAUUCAUACUGCAUGACUGAGGAUUUUGGAGGCAGAGAGAGAUUCAUCUGCAAUAUUUGGAACACCAAUGGAGGUCUACGUCAACACAGAAUUUAUACAGCAGCUGGUGCUAGUCAGAGCUAAUGACAGAAUUUCAGUUUAAUAAAAAGACCCCCAACUGAGCACACCAUCUUGAAAAAAGUAUACUUAUCAAACAGCUUUCAAUCAGUUCAAGAGAGACACCUUAAUUGGGGAGAGGAAGAAUUGCAGAGUAGUUUGUAAUCAUGCCAAUUCCAGAUCAAUAACUGCAUGUCUGUUCUUUGGUAGAAAUAGCUUUUGCUUUAUAUUAAGUAAUCACAUAUAUAUUCUCUCUAUUUGGAUAAGGAAACCUUCGCUUUAUUUGACAAUGUAUAAUGAUAUACUCUUCUAAUUCACCUCUGUGUCUUCACAAUAAACAUGAGUAAAAUUUAGACAAGUGAUGGUAAAGGUCAAUAUAAUUAUUUAUUUUUAAAAUAAAUUUUGUAUCUAACAGGAAAGCAGUUCUUAUGAAAUUUUUAUAUUUUCAAAAAUUGUUUUGUUCAAAUAAAAUUUUAUGAGUAAAGU